rnacentral:rRNA from 1 species
AGUGAACGCUGGCGGUAGGCCUAACACAUGCAAGUCGAACGGCAGCACAGGAGAGCUUGCUCUCUGGGUGGCGAGUGGCGGACGGGUGAGGAAUACAUCGGAAUCUACUCUGUCGUGGGGGAUAACGUAGGGAAACUUACGCUAAUACCGCAUACGACCUACGGGUGAAAGCAGGGGAUCUUCGGACCUUGCGCGAUUGAAUGAGCCGAUGUCGGAUUAGCUAGUUGGCGGGGGAUAGGCCCACCAAGGCGACGAUCCGUAGCUGGUCUGAGAGGAUGAUGAGCCAACAUGGGACUGAGACAAGGUCCAGACUCCUACGGGAGGCAGCAGUGGGGAAUAUUGGACAUGGGGCGCAAGCCUGAUCCAGCCAUACCGCGUGGGUGAAGAAGGCCUUCGGGUUGUAAAGCCCUUUUGUUGGGAAAGAAAUCCAGCUGGCUAAUACCCGGUUGGGAUGACGGUACCCAAAGAAUAAGCACCGGCUAACUUCGUGCCAGCAGCCGCCGUAA